rnacentral:rRNA from 1 species
CCUACGGGAGGCAGCAGUGAGGAAUAUUGGUCAAUGGGCGCGAGCCUGAACCAGCCAAGUCGCGUGAGGGAAGACGGUCCUAUGGAUUGUAAACCUCUUUUGUCGGGGAGCAAAAGACGCCACGCGUGGCGUUCCGAGAGUACCCGAAGAAAAAGCAUCGGCUAACUCCGUGCCAGCAGCCGCGGUAAUACGGAGGAUGCGAGCGUUAUCCGGAUUUAUUGGGUUUAAAGGGUGCGCAGGCGGAAGAUCAAGUCAGCGGGAAAAUUGAGAGGCUCAACCUCUUCGAGCCGUUGAAACUGGUUUUCUUGAGUGAGCGAGAAGUAUGCGGAAGGCGUGGUGUAGCGGUGAAAUGCAUAGAUAUCACGCAGAACUCCGAUUGCGAAGGCAGCAUACCGGCGCUCAACUGACGCUCAUGCACGAAAGUGUGGGUAUCGAACAGGAUUAGAUACCCGGGUAGUC